rnacentral:hammerhead_ribozyme from 1 species
AUCCAGCUGAUGAGUCCUAAAUAGAACGAAACACGCGUCCUGGAA